rnacentral:rRNA from 1 species
AUACGGAGGGUGCAAGCGUUACUCGGAAUCACUGGGCGUAAAGCGCGCGCAGGCGGUCUUUUAAGUUGGAUGUGAAAGCCUACGGCUCAACCGUAGAACUGCAUCCAAAACUAUUAGACUAGAGUGGGGGAGAGGAAGAUGGAAUUAGUUGUGUAGGGGUAAAAUCCGUAGAGAUAACUAGGAAUACCAAAAGCGAAGGCAAUCUUCUGGAACACUACUGACGCUGAGGCGCGAAAGCGUGGGGAGCAAACAGGAUUAGAAACCCGUGUAGUCC